rnacentral:rRNA from 1 species
AUUGAACGCUGGCGGCAUGCCUUACACAUGCAAGUCGAACGGCAGCACGGAGCUUGCUCUGGUGGCGAGUGGCGAACGGGUGAGUAAUAUAUCGGAACGUACCCUAGAGUGGGGGAUAACGUAGCGAAAGUUACGCUAAUACCGCAUACGAUCUAAGGAUGAAAGUGGGGGAUCGCAAGACCUCAUGCUCGUGGAGCGGCCGAUAUCUGAUUAGCUAGUUGGUAGGGUAAAAGCCUACCAAGGCAUCGAUCAGUAGCUGGUCUGAGAGGACGACCAGCCACACUGGAACUGAGACACGGUCCAGACUCCUACGGGAGGCAGCAGUGGGGAAUUUUGGACAAUGGGCGAAAGCCUGAUCCAGCAAUGCCGCGUGAGUGAAGAAGGCCUUCGGGUUGUAAAGCUCUUUUGUCAGGGAAGAAACGGUGGGAGCUAAUAUCUCUUGCUAAUGACGGUACCUGAAGAAUAAGCACCGGCUAACUACGUGCCAGCAGCCGCGGUAAUACGUAGGGUGCAAGCGUUAAUCGGAAUUACUGGGCGUAAAGCGUGCGCAGGCGGUUUUGUAAGUCUGAUGUGAAAUCCCCGGGCUCAACCUGGGAAUUGCAUUGGAGACUGCAAGGCUAGAAUCUGGCAGAGGGGGAUAGAAUUCCACGUGUAGCAGUGAAAUGCGUAGAUAUGUGGAGGAACACCGAUGGCGAAGGCAGCCCCCUGGGUCAAGAUUGACGCUCAUGCACGAAAGCGUGGGGAGCAAACAGGAUUAGAUACCCUGGUAGUCCACGCCCUAAACGAUGUCUACUAGUUGUCGGGUCUUAAUUGACUUGGUAACGCAGCUAACGCGUGAAGUAGACCGCCUGGGGAGUACGGUCGCAAGAUUAAAACUCAAAGGAAUUGACGGGGACCCGCACAAGCGGUGGAUGAUGUGGAUUAAUUCGAUGCAACGCGAAAAACCUUACCUACCCUUGACAUGGCUGGAAUCCUUGAGAGAUCAGGGAGUGCUCGAAAGAGAACCAGUACACAGGUGCUGCAUGGCUGUCGUCAGCUCGUGUCGUGAGAUGUUGGGUUAAGUCCCGCAACGAGCGCAACCCUUGUCAUUAGUUGCUACGAAAGGGCACUCUAAUGAGACUGCCGGUGACAAACCGGAGGAAGGUGGGGAUGACGUCAAGUCCUCAUGGCCCUUAUGGGUAGGGCUUCACACGUCAUACAAUGGUACAUACAGAGCGCCGCCAACCCGCGAGGGGGAGCUAAUCGCAGAAAGUGUAUCGUAGUCCGGAUUGUAGUCUGCAACUCGACUGCAUGAAGUUGGAAUCGCUAGUAAUCGCGGAUCAGCAUGUCGCGGUGAAUACGUUCCCGGGUCU